AGAGUUUGAUCCUGGCUCAGAGCAAACGCUGGCGGCGUGCCUAAUACAUGCAAGUCGAACGGGGAAAGUAGCAAUACGAGUACUAGUGGCGCACGGGUGAGGAACACGUGGGUAAUCUGCCUUCGAGCGGGGGAUAACUAAUCGAAAGAUUGGCUAAUACCGCAUAAGACCACAGGAUCUGCGGAUCUAGGGGUCAAAGCCGCAAGGCACUUGAAGAUGAGCCCGCGUAAGAUUAGCUAGUUGGUGGGGUAAUGGCUCACCAAGGCGAUGAUCUUUAGCUGGUCUGAGAGGAUGAUCAGCCACACUGGAACUGAGACACGGUCCAGACUCCUACGGGAGGCAGCAGUAGGGAAUAUUGCGCAAUGGGGGCAACCCUGACGCAGCGACGCCGCGUGAGUGAUGAAGGCCUUCGGGUCGUAAAGCUCUGUUAUAUGGGAAUAAGAUCUGAAUGUACCAUGUGAGAAAGGAUCGGCUAACUUCGUGCCAGCAGCCGCGGUAAGACGAGGGAUCCUAGCGUUGCUCGGAAUCAUUGGGCGUAAAGCGGGUGUAGGUGGCUUUGUAAGUCAGGUGUGAAAGCCCAGGGCUCAACCCUGGAAGUGCAUUUGAUACUGCGAAGCUUGAGUGUGGGAGAGGCUACUGGAAUACCUAGUGUAGUGGUGAAAUACGUAGAUAUUAGGUGGAACACCGGAGGCGAAGGCGGGUAGCUGGCCCAACACUGACACUCAGACCCGAAAGCGUGGGGAUCAAACAGGAUUAGAUACCCUGGUAGUCC
rnacentral:rRNA from 1 species